rnacentral:rRNA from 1 species
AUUGAACGCUGGCGGCAUGCCUUACACAUGCAAGUCGAACGGUAACAGGUCUUCGGAUGCUGACGAGUGGCGAACGGGUGAGUAAUACAUCGGAACGUGCCUAGUAGUGGGGGAUAACUACUCGAAGGAGUGGCUAAUACCGCAUGAGAUCUACGGAUGAAAGCAGGGGAUCGCAAGACCUUGUGCUACUAGAGCGGCCGAUGGCAGAUUAGGUAGUUGGUGGGAUAAAAGCUUACCAAGCCGACGAUCUGUAGCUGGUCUGAGAGGACGAUCAGCCACACGGGGACUGAGAAACGGCCCAGACUCCUACGGGAGGCAGCAGUGGGGAAUUUUGGACAAUGGGCGCAAGCCUGAUCCAGCAAUGCCGCGUGCAGGAUGAAGGCCUUCGGGUUGUAAACUGCUUUUGUACGGAACGAAAAGCCCCGGGUUAAUACCCUGGGGUCAUGACGGUACCGUAAGAAUAAGCACCGGCUAACUACGUGCCAGCAGCCGCCGUAA